AACGAACGCUGGCGGCAUGCCUAACACAUGCAAGUCGAACGAGACCUUCGGGUCUAGUGGCGCACGGGUGCGUAACGCGUGGGAACCUGCCCUUAGGUUCGGAAUAACUCCCGGAAAGGGGUGUUAAUACCGGAAAAUGUCUCCGGACAAAAGAUUUAUCGCCUUUGGAUGGGCCCGCGUUGGAUUAGCUAGUUGGUAGGGUAAAAGCCUACCAAGGCGACGAUCCAUAGCUGGUCUGAGAGGAUGAUCAGCCACACUGGGACUGAGACACGGCCCAGACUCCUACGGGAGGCAGCAGUGGGGAAUAUUGGACAAUGGGCGAAAGCCUGAUCCAGCAAUGCCGCGUGAGUGAUGAAGGCCUUAGGGUUGUAAAGCUCUUUUACCCGGGAUGAUAAUGACAGUACCGGGAGAAUAAGCUCCGGCUAACUCCGUG
rnacentral:rRNA from 1 species